UACGGAGGUUGCAAGCGUUAUCCGGAUUUAUUGGGUUUAAAGGGUGCGUAGGCGGGUUUGUAAGUCAGUGGUGAAAGACUGUCGCUUAACGAUAGCAUUGCCAUUGAUACUGCAAGUCUUGAGUACACUUGAGGUAGGCGGAAUGUGUAGUGUAGCGGUGAAAUGCUUAGAUAUUACACAGAACACCAAUUGCGAAGGCAGCUUACUAAAUUGUAACUGACGCUGAGGCACGAAAGCGUGGGGAUCAAACAGG
rnacentral:rRNA from 1 species